AAAUUGAAGAGUUUGAUCAUGGCUCAGAUUGAACGCUGGCGGCAGGCCUAACACAUGCAAGUCGAACGGUAACAGGAAGCAGCUUGCUGCUUCGCUGACGAGUGGCGGACGGGUGAGUAAUGUCUGGGAAACUGCCUGAUGGAGGGGGAUAACUACUGGAAACGGUAGCUAAUACCGCAUAAUGUCG
rnacentral:rRNA from 1 species